CUCGAUCUCCUGACCUCGUGAUCUGCCCGCCUCGGCCUCCCAAAGUGCUGGGAUUACAGGUAUGAGCCACCGCGCCCGGCCUUUUUUUUUUUUUUUUUUUUUUGAGACAGAGUCUCACUUUGUCUCCCAGGCUGGAGUGCAGUGGCACGAUCUCGGCUCACUGCAAUCUCCACCCCCUGGGUUCACGCCAUUCUCCUGCCUCAGUCUCCCAAGUAGCUGGGACUACAGGUGCCCGCCACCACACCUGGCUAAUUUUUUAUAUUUUUAGUAGAGACGGGGUUUCACCGUGUUAGCCAGGAUGGUCUCGAUCUUCUGACCUGGUGAUCCGCCCACCUCGGCCUCUGAAAGUGCUGGGAUUACAGGUGUGAGCCACUGCGCCCGGCCUGUAUCCUCUUUACUACUGGAAACUAGGCCCUUAGUGUCUCUAAAUCUAAUAAUGUAGAGAACCAAUUCCAGAAGUCCCAGAACCAGUGCAGACAACUCAUCUGUAAGACUUUCCUCUGCAACAACUUCCGGCACCAAAAUUGGUCAGUUGGGCCGAUCUAGAGAAGCAAACCAGUGGGAGAUAAAUAUUAAGAGAUUUACUAUCAAGAACUGGCUUCCAUGCUUGCAGUGGCUGACGAGACAUGUCUGGGAAGAUUGUGAGUGGCGUGGAACUUCGCUGGCACGUUUCCUGUCCACUUCAGCAUCUGCGGAGGCGGCCAAGGGCUGAUACCCCUGCGCUUUCUGGAAGCCUCGGGUUUGCUUUCGAAGACUGUUUCUGACCUCACUCCUGCACAGAUACACACUCAGCUUUUCAGGUUACACUUUUGGGAAUGAUCACUUAUUCUUAGCAUCUUUUGCCAUCUGGACAGGAUGAGAGUUUCCCAAAUCAUCAAGUCCUAGUUCCUUUCUGUUUAAGAGCGCUCCCCUCAGUCCCUCCUGCUCACAUUCUAUCAUAAGCAGCAGGAACAGGCCAGGCUGCACCUUCCACUGUCUGGAGAUCUCCUCAGCUGAAUGUCCAGGUCUUCUGCUCACAUUUCACCAUAAGCAGCAGAAACAGGCCAGGCUGCACCUUCCACUGUCUGGAGAUCUCCUCAGCUGAAUAUCCAGGUCUUCAGCUCACAUUUCACCAUAAGCAGCAGAAACAGGCCAGGCUGUACCUUCCACUGUCUGGAGAUCUCCUCAGCUGAAUGUCCAGGUCUUCUGCUCACAUUUCACCAUAAGCAGCAGAAACAGGCCAGGCUGCACCUUCCACUGUCUGGAGAUCCCCUCAGCAGAACACCCAGGUUCACCUGACAAAGUCAGCUUCUCUCUGACAGCAGGACACAGCCCCAUGGCGUUUCCCGCCACUACCUGGAUGUGACAGGCACUUUGCCUCCCUCCACUUUGUCAGGACAUUCUCCUCACAUCCUCUGGGCUCUCGCCCGGAAUGCUUUCUUUCCUUUUCCUUUUUAAAAAAUGUUUGUAAAUUUAUUAGUAAUGCUCCUUUUGAAAGGUAUGGAAAAUGAAACUCAAGGUAUAAUCCUUAUAUGAAACAAUUAACUCAUUUCUCCAGGAGUCUUAGUAGAAAACACAUGAUUUGGAAAGAUCCUGCCGGGUGUGGUGGCUCACGCCUGUAAUCUCAGCACUUCGGGAGGCCGAGGUGGGCAGAUCACCUGAGGUCAGGAAUUCGAGACCAGCCUGACCAACAUGGAGAAACCCUGUCUGUACUAAAAAUACAAAAAUUAGUUGGGUGUAGUGGCGAGCACCUGUGAUCCCAGGUACUCAGGAGGCUUAGACAGGAGAAUCGCUUGAACCCGGGAGGCGGAGGUUGCAGUGGGCCCAGGUAGCACCACUGCACUCCAGCCUGGGCAACAGAGUGAGGCUUUGUCUCAAAAAAAAAAAAAAGGAAAGAAAAGAAAAGAAAAAGAUAGCAAAAGCUCCAUAGAAGCCAAAAGGAUACCAAAGCUUCCCUUCUUCAAAAAUGUUCUCUCCAGAAAAUGCAUGAAUCUAUGUCUGCCUCUGUGAGAUCACUGCACCUGUGAGUAAGGUGGUCACAAAUGUGAACACCUGUCUAGAACAUCCUAGACCGACAUAAACAGACAAUCCUUGAAGCUGCAGAAAACAAAUGAGGGUGAAAAUAAAGCUGUACUAUUUGUAGAGCAAGUCCUAAAAAUACAGAAUUCACUAAGAGCUUGGAACAGAAGACCUAGGAGAUAAAAACCAGGGAAAAGUAAUUAGAAAAAUACUUCACUCCUUGAUCGAGACCAUCCUGGCUAACAUGGUGAAAUUUUUAGCCGUCUGUACUAAAAAUACAAAAAAUUAGCCAGGAAUGGUGGCAGGAGCCUGUAGUUCCAGC
rnacentral:lncRNA from 1 species